UAGCGAUGGAAGCGGCAUCCUUUUGUGUAGUUUACGAAGCAAAAGAUAGAGCGGACAGCGCGGCCGCGC
rnacentral:sRNA from 1 species